GACGAACGCUGGCGGCGUGCUUAACACAUGCAAGUCGAACGGAAAGGCCCUGCUUUUGUGGGGUGCUCGAGUGGCGAACGGGUGAGUAACACGUGAGUAACCUGCCCUUGACUUUGGGAUAACUUCAGGAAACUGGGGCUAAUACCGGAUAGGAGCUCCUGCUGCAUGGUGGGGGUUGGAAAGUUUCGGCGGUUGGGGAUGGACUCGCGGCUUAUCAGCUUGUUGGUGGGGUAGUGGCUUACCAAGGCUUUGACGGGUAGCCGGCCUGAGAGGGUGACCGGCCAAAUUGGGAUUGAGAUACGGCCCAGCCUCCUACGGGAGGCAGCAGGGGGGAAUAUUGCACAAUGGGCGGAAGCCUGAUGCAGCACCGCCGCGUGCGGGAGGACGGCCUUCGGGUUGUAACCCGCUUUCGCCUGUGACGAAGCGUGAGUGACGGUAAUGGGUAAAGAAGCACCGGCUAACUACGUG
rnacentral:rRNA from 1 species